AGGUCAUAAAGGGUCCCCAUCAAACCCAAUAAUUAUGGUCAACGUUCGUUCCUGUUCGCUUGUCCCGCCUUCCAUUCCACUACAAAGUGCAAACUGUGGUAAUAAAAACAGAAUAGGGCGAACGAGUGAAAGGAAUGACUACGAUAAAUCCGUUUCUGCUUCGUUCGUGACUGGACCCCAUUAAAAUCAAGCAACCGGCUGAGCUCCUUUAUAAGCGUAAACACACUUCAUUGCGCAGCCGGUAAUGCAUUUACAACCUCGGUGAGCUCCAUCGCAGCACCUCGUUAAAAAUUAACGAGCUCAUUGCAUGACACUAGCGUCUUCUAAAAUAACUUUGUCCUAUAAAAAGGUAUUUUCAAUCUUGUUAUGAUUUUUUAAUCAGUUUUUUUUUUUCAGUUUGGUUGAUGUGCCUAGAUCAAAAGCAAUGGGCAUUUUUAUUGGUAAGAUGGAUGCAUGGUACUCCCGUAUCGGGAAUGGAAAAAGGUAUACGUAUUGGUGAUUCCACUUAAAAAAUUCAAACUUUUUAUUGUUACCCUCAAUCCAAAUUAUCUGCCGACCUGCUAGAAAGUGAAAUGCACAAGAGCAUCGGAUGCUGUCAUCCCAAAAUACGAAUGGACUAAGUGACAAGACAGUCGCAAGUCGGUCGCAUAUGCAAAGUGAUUCAAUUUCGCCACCACUUUUUAUCCGGUCACCAUCGUAGCUGAAAGUGCGACAGAUGUUAAGCAAAGUUUGACGAGGUGACGUGAAGAAAAGUUUGAAAAGCAAAGGCGUUAGCAACUAGUAGAAAACAGAAUAAAAGAACUAUGGAAAAAGGUCUCAUCACGAAGUUUGCAGUUUUCGUCGUUCCAUUUGUUUCUUCUUUGUGGAGUCUUUUAAUUCGAGUCCGUUUGAGCAAUGCCACCAGGAUGCAAGAAGACAAACCACUUGACAAGACGUUGCAUCUUGUGCUGGUGGGACUAGCUACUUAAAUCUAUGCACAAUUUGGGGAGCUUCAGUAUCCCAGCGACAACUGGACAGUGGACUGCCGUUGUACAGAACAUCAUCCAUAGCCGCAUCAGCCUGUUGUAGUUUUUGUUGUCAUAAACGUGAGCAAGCCCAUCACGAUAAUGAAGAGAGAGGGAGAGAGUGUCCAGGACGGAGGCGGAAUAUAACCUUGGAUGUACAGAGGAAAGGACAGACGGACAUCAGCUGGUCUAAUGCCAAACUUUGGAUAGCCCUAUACAUGACAAAACCAAGACUGCAAGUCUACAAGCUGUGAUCCAUCAUUGCACUGGAUGAGAAGAUUCAAAUGGAAGUAAGAGAGGGAGCUCGAGAAAAUACGAUGAAAAUCGGACAGAACAGAACGACCGGAGGGCAGCUGAAGUCAUUCAACAACAGUCAGAAAGGGAAACAGAACCACUUUUACUACUCUUCGACGGGCAAGACAAGCAAGACAAGCAAGGCCGAAGGGUAAACGACGAACGAGCGGCUGUCAUGACAACGGUGUCGAUGUCGUGCAAUGAUAAGGGUGGGCGUUGGGGAGACGUGAUCGCUGUUGGCUACAGCCCGUGGAAAUAAUAGACAACACACUACAUAUGCUAUAAUUCUUCUAACAAACAAACAACGCCACUUUACUUGAUGAAAUGAGUCAGCGCUCAUUCGCCGCCCUCUGGUGGAUAACAUGCGUCAACCACCAGAAUAUUGUCGAUUUCGGCCUUUGGAAUAUUUUUGGUGGUUUUAUUGACUCUCUCCUCACCAUAAAUGGUAGAACACGCCCUAAACUAUGGAACUUUAUUUUUGUGCUGGCUACAUGCAAGGUGAUUUCGUUUUCUUGUUUUGUUCCUUGAUUGCGGUCGGUAAAUCAGACAAAAUGUGCUACAAUAGUCACAGUUUUUACAUCAAAUUUUAGAUGGGUUAGUGAGAUUGAUCGUCGAGGUUCAGUCAUGGCACUAAUGUGUAGAGGGAAUUUGCAAUACCUUUCCCGUAGAUGAUGAUCCAUCAUGGCCGACAUUUGCACUCCCUUCCUCUUAUAUCGUAUAUUGUUUUCUACCUACUAUUUGUGAAAUUAGGCUAUCGUCAGAAAGAAAAAUUCGAUUUGAUGAAACAGUCAAUAGUUUGAGUAACAAAAUUUGCAUUAUUUUCUUGCCUAUAGCUUUAGGUUGACGUAAAAAAGAAAAAAAAAAGGCAAACACUUCUGUG